rnacentral:rRNA from 1 species
UACGUAGGGGGCAAGCGUUGUCCGGAUUUACUGGGCGUAAAGAGCGCGUAGGCGGACGCUUAAGUGUGGCCUGAAAGCCCCCGGCUCAACCGGGGAAGGUGGCUGCAAACUGGGCGUCUUGAGGGCGAUAGAGGAGAGUGGAAUUCCUGGUGUAGCGGUGAAAUGCGUAGAUAUCAGGAGGAACACCGGUGGCGAAGGCGGCAUCCUGGACCGGUAUUGACGCUGAGGCGCGAAAGCCAGGGGAGCAAACGGG